GACGAACGCUGGCGGCGUGCCUAAUACAUGCAAGUUGAGCGCUGAAGGUUGGUACUUGUACCAACUGGAUGAGCAGCGCACGGGUGAGUAACGCGUGGGGAAUCUGCCUUUGAGCGGGGGACAACAUUUGGAAACGAAUGCUAAUACCGCAUAAAAACUUUAAACACAAGUUUUAAGUUUGAAAGAUGCAAUUGCAUCACUCAAAGAUGAUCCCGCGUUGUAUUAGCUAGUUGGUGAGGUAAAGGCUCACCAAGGCGAUGAUACAUAGCCGACCUGAGAGGGUGAUCGGCCACAUUGGGAGUGAGACACGGCACAAACGGCUACGGGAGGCAGCAGUAGGGAAUCGUCGGCAAUGGACGAAAGUCUGACCGAGCAACGCCGCGGGAGGGAAGAAGGAUGUCGGAUCGUAAAACUCGGUUGGUAGAGAAGAACGUUGGUGAGAGUGGAAAGCUCAUCAAGUGACGGUAACUACCCAGAAAGGGACGGCUAACUACGUG
rnacentral:rRNA from 1 species